AUCUUUUACCUCUCAAGCAGCCUCUGGUCAUCUGCCUUUGAGCCAUCAAGAUGCCGAUGUCUUCUCUUCCAGCAGCUAUUUUGUCUCAUAUGACAGCUAUUAACAACGUGCCUCCUCCUCCACUUCACAGUAUACCAAACUUGAAAAAGUCUAAGCACAUUAAUUAUGGCCAGUUGAAUGCAUUAUGCCACAUUAGAGGACAACACAGCCAGAGUAUGAGCAAUACCUUAUCAGCUCACGAUACAUUUAUGAAGCAAUAUCCUAAAGUAUUCCUGCACCAAAAACCCAGACUUCCUAAACUUUUCAAACAGGAGGAACAAAGGGAACUCAAUGAAGGCAAAGAGGAAAGUCAACAUCAACAACCUGAUGAUUCUCACAAUAUAGCUGUCCAUGUUCAGAGAGCACAUGGUGGCCAUAUUUUGUAUAGAACAAAAAGAGCCACAGAGAAAUUUGAAGAAUUCCUAGCUAUCUUAAAGAAAUUGUAAGUAUUUAAAAUAUAUUCCUUCUUCUAGUUGAGUAAUUCUUUUGAAUGGCUUUAUUUUU
rnacentral:sRNA from 1 species